rnacentral:rRNA from 1 species
GACGAACGCUGGCGGCGUGCUUAACACAUGCAAGUCGAGCGGUAAGGCCCUUUCGGGGGUACACGAGCGGCGAACGGGUGAGUAACACGUGGGUGACCUGCCCUCAGCUCUGGGAUAAGCCUGGGAAACCGGGUCUAAUACUGGAUAUGACUCCAUGACGCAUGUUGUGGGGUGGAAAGCCUUGUGCGGCUGAGGAUGGGCCCGCGGCCUAUCAGCUUGUUGGUGGGGUGANGGCCUACCAAGGCGACGACGGGUAGCCGGCCUGAGAGGGCGACCGGCCACACUGGGACUGAGUCACGGCCCAGACUCCUACGGGAGGCAGCAGUGGGGAAUCUUGCGCAAUGGGCGAAAGCCUGACGCAGCGACGCCGCGUGAGGGAUGACGGCC